UUAGCACUUUCACAGGUCCUCCCCCAUGCAGUGGGGCCAGGAUUUGGCAGCUGGUGCUGAAGGAAAACCCUUGAGUACGUCCUUGCCCUAGGACUGUGCCCAUGGCAGCUGUCACUCAAUGACAUAGAA